GUGCUUGCUUUGGCAGCACAUACACUAAAGAAGGAAUGAUAAAGAGGCCCCUGCACAAGGAAGACACACAUUUCUGAAGAGUUCCAUGUGCUU
rnacentral:snRNA from 1 species